rnacentral:rRNA from 1 species
GAUGAACGCUGGCGGCGUGCUUAACACAUGCAAGUCGAACGAAGCAUUUGCGACAGAUUUUUUCGGAAUGAAGUUGCUUAUGACUGAGUGGCGGACGGGUGAGUAACGCGUGGGUAACCUGCCUUGUACUGGGGGAUAGCAGCUGGAAACGGCUGGUAAUACCGCAUAAGCGCACAAUGUUGCAUGACAUGGUGUGAAAAACUCCGGUGGUAUAAGAUGGACCCGCGUCUGAUUAGCUAGUUGGUGAGAUAACAGCCCACCAAGGCGACGAUCAGUAGCCGACCUGAGAGGGUGACCGGCCACAUUGGGACUGAGACACGGCCCAGACUCCUACGGGAGGCAGCAGUGGGGAGUAUUGCACAAUGGAGGAAACUCUGAUGCAGCGACGCCGCGUGAGUGAAGAAGUAAUUCGUUAUGUAAAGCUCUAUCAGCAGGGAAGAUAGUGACGGUACCUGACUAAGAAGCUCCGGCUAAAUACGUG